rnacentral:rRNA from 1 species
CCUACGGGAGGCAGCAGUGGGGAAUAUUGGGCAAUGGGCGCAAGCCUGACCCAGCAACGCCGCGUGAAGGAAGAAGGCUUUCGGGUUGUAAACUUCUUUUGUCAGGGACGAAGCAAGUGACGGUACCUGACGAAUAAGCCACGGCUAACUACGUGCCAGCAGCCGCGGUAAUACGUAGGUGGCAAGCGUUAUCCGGAUUUAUUGGGUGUAAAGGGCGUGUAGGCGGGAAUGCAAGUCAGAGGGGAAAACUAUGGGACCAACCCAUAGCCUGCAUUUGAAACUGUAGUGCUUGAGUGCUGGAGAGGCAAUCGGAAUGCCGUGUGUAGCGGUGAAAUGCGUAGAUAUACGGAGGAACACCAGUGGCGAAGGCGGAUUGCUGGACAGUAACUGACGCUGAGGCGCGAAAGCGUGGGGAGCAAACAGGAUUAGAUACCCCUGUAGUC